rnacentral:lncRNA from 1 species
CUGUGGCUGGGUGUUCUCGAACCUAUGGCUGAACUCAUCAUUCAUUAUCGCCAGUAUAAUGCACCGAACGGUGGUGCGGUCGUUGAGCCACUUCUGAUAAGUAUCUCAGACCGUCCCUCUUACGUUCGGGGCUAGCUCCUCAGGUGCCGGAUCCGUUACUACAUAAAGGAUCCGCUCAUGCUCAAGGAUGAUUUUUAAUUUUCGAUACCAGCUAUCGAAAUUAGGUCC